CUUGAGCCGUGGCUUUCGGAGCUAACGCGUUAAGUAGACCGCCUGGGGAGUACGGUCGCAAGAUUAAAACUCAAAUGAAUUGACGGGGGCCCGCACAAGCGGUGGAGCAUGUGGUUUAAUUCGAUGCAACGCGAAGAACCUUACCUACUCUUGACAUCCAGAGAACUUUCCAGAGAUGGAUUGGUGCCUUCGGGAACUCUGAGACAGGUGCUGCAUGGCUGUCGUCAGCUCGUGUCGUGAG
rnacentral:rRNA from 5 species